rnacentral:rRNA from 1 species
UUGACCUCGGAUCAGGUAGGAUUACCCGCUGAACUUAAGCAUAUCAAUAAGCGGAGGAAAAGAAACCAACAGGGAUUGCCCCAGUAACGGCGAGUGAAGCGGCAACAGCUCAGAUUUGGAAUCUGGCCCUCGGGCCCGAGUUGUAAUCUGGAGAGGAUGCUUCUGGCGCGGUGCCUUCCGAGUUCCCUGGAACGGGACGCCGGAGAGGGUGAGAGCCCCGUACGGUUGGACACCUAGCUUCUGUGAAGCUCCUUCGACGAGUCGAGUAGUUUGGGAAUGCUGCUCAAAAUGGGAGGUAAAUUUCUUCUAAAGCUAAAUAUUGGCCAGAGACCGAUAGCGCACAAGUAGAGUGAUCGAAAGAUGAAAAGCACUUUGAAAAGAGGGUUAAAAAGUACGUGAAAUUGUUGAAAGGGAAGCGCCCGUGGCCAGACUUGCGCUGCGCGGACCACCCAGCGUUCUCGCUGGUGCACUCCGCGCGGCGCAGGCCAGCAUCGGUUUUCCUAGGGGGAUAAAGGCUGCGGGAACGUAGCUCCUUCGGGAGUGUUAUAGCCCGUGGCGUCAUACCCCUGGGGGGACCGAGGACCGCGCUUCGGCAAGGAUGCUGGCGUAAUGGCCACCGGCGACC